AACGUGUGUGUGUGUCUCUUUG
rnacentral:miRNA from 1 species